GGCUUACUAUAGGACAGGUAAAUUGAGUUGUUUUCUGGCCAUUUUUGGGGCUGUAAGUUGGUUUGUUGAUUGAUCAUGUGAGCAUUUGUGUGGUUGACUUGCAAAUAAGAGUCGGAGUACAUGUAUUUUGGUUUUGGGAAAGUAAGGCAAGAUUUAUGGGAAUGUUUUAUUUUGGGGCACUAUUUUAUAGCAACCCGAAAAUGAAAAUGGGGUUAGUUGGAAUGUCCCAGUUCACAGAAAUAGGCUACAAAACCUUUAGGAGUGUGUAUAUUUAUGGUUUUGGAAAUUCUUAAUCUUCUGUAACAUUAUCUUUGAUUUAAUACAAGAAAAGAGUAAAUUAACUAGUUGAUGCAAGCAGUCAUGAAAGAGAAAGCUUUUCGUUCUUUUGAUUCCUUUGUUUCUUGAUUCUCUCCUCUAGUGUGAUUUUAUGGGUGACUUUCUUAGGAAGUGGAGUGAUUGUGGAUGACGUCAAUCCAAGCUGCAUAUUAAUGAACUGCACUGAAUCCAAACCUAUCAAGAAUUUUGAGCCUUUUUUGCAAUUAGGGACCAGAAAUUUAGCUCCCACUUUUCACCAUCUGACCUUUUUUGUUUUCUUUUGUGUCUGCCUAACAUGUUUAUUCUAGCCAACGAGCAGUCAGAACUGCAUUAUGGUGUAACUUCCUCGUCUUUUCUCUCAAGUUUGGGGUCUGGUUAACAACCUCUAGCCAUGUUAUGUUGGCUGAAGUUGUGCACUCAGCCGCAGAUUUUGCAAAUCAGGCUCUUCUUGCAUAUGGUCUGAGUAGCUCAAGGCGUGCUCCUGAUGCUAUCCACCCGUGAGUAUUUCAUUUCAGAGGUCACCUUUGGCAUCAAUGUUCUUGUAUUUGUUAUAUUUACAUUGACUUCACCAUUCAGCAUAUGGAUCAAACUUUAUCUAGAUCAUAGUUGUUAAAAACUUAGGAUACAUGAUACGAGGCGCUUAGCAACCCCUAUCUUAUUUUAAGUGUAUCUUAUGAAACAUAUAUGAUACAUCAUCCAAUGCUUGAUAAAAUGAUAUUUACACUUUUAGCUA